rnacentral:rRNA from 1 species
UACGAAGGGAGCUAGCGUUGUUCGGAAUCACUGGGCGUAAAGCGCACGUAGGCGGAUGUGUCCGUCAGUGGUGAAAUCCCGGAGCUCAACUUCGGAACUGCCUUUGAUACAGCACAUCUGGAGUCCGGAAGAGGUGGGUGGAAUUCCUAGUGUAGAGGUGAAAUUCGUAGAUAUUAGGAAGAACACCGGUGGCGAAGGCGGCCCACUGGUCCGGUACUGACGCUGAGGUGCGAAAGCGUGGGGAGCAAACAGG